GGAAUUUUGAAACUUAACAAAUCCCAAAAAGGCUAAGAAUCACUGUUCUAUAUCCAUAAGAGUUUUUUUAUAUCAUGACUAUAAAUGUCAAUAUCAAAGAUUAUAGCAUAAGUUUUAGAGACCCUCUUUAAAAAAAAAAACAUCUUUUAUUCUUUUUUCCUUUAGUUUUUCAACCUUGGAAAUUGGCUUGGCAAUUUGGACCAAAAUCAGGGUUGAUGUCCGCUAAGGCAUAUGACUGCAAGUCUUGGGAGGGUCCUACCUUCUUACCUCCUCUAAGGAUCUUUUUCAAAGGUGUUUGGCUGUUUCUGCUAGUGAUUGCAUUCUUACAUGAAUUUCCACUGGGAUUCCUUGGCUUGUUUGUAUUGUCUGGCCAGGUCCACAAGCAUCUUUGCAUGCCACUCGAGUGGUGAGUCUGAUUUGAUACCACGGGGAUUCAUGGAAAGAUUCCAGACAAUCCACAAGUGACCACUGUCUUCUUUUAGACCUACUGGGAUGGUGAUGAUAGAAGGAAGCUAUCUGCUGCUCUUGUCUAUUUCUAUAGUCAUUGGUGGUGUGGAAUGUCUAAAUACUCACGCUUAAGAUUUUCCCUGAGGACUGUUAAUUGAUAACCCAAGUAUGGAUGGCUCUGUCGAAAAGUUCUGACUAGUUCUUAUCACAAAGGCAAUCUGACUGACAUAAGACAGCUACACUGAGAGUAUGUAGAAAACUGGUAGGUUGUGUAUAUGUUCGACUGGGUUUAUAUGGUAGGAAACCCCUGACAUGGAAAUCACUUAAAUUUUCCUACAUCUCUAGUUGUUUCACCACAAGAAAGCAUUAAGCUUUACUUUCUGGGGAUUUCUGCCCAAGUUUGGUCUCCUAACAUUAGGUAUUGAUGUCUUAUGCAUAACAUAUUUCACAGUUACUAAAGUUAGGGCAUGGAAAGAACAGUAUUUUAAUAAUCAUUCCCAAUAUCCAGCAGAGGACCUGGCACAUAACAUUCAGUAAAGAUUUGCAUGAUUAAGUUAAUUCAGCUCCAUGUUUCUGAUAACAAAUCUCCAGAAGUCUGUUUUAUUGGCCUAAUGAGUGAAUUCAAACAUUCCUUUUUUCCAUCUGCUUAAUGGAAACAACCUUUCCUCAUAUAUUGAAGCAAUACUUCAAAUCUGAAUUACCCUAAAACACAUGACUGCAUUUUAAAUUUCAUUUGUGGUAAUAACAAAAUGAAUUAUAGUGAAUUCUGAAACUGAUACCUCUGUUGGAGGCAACCCAUGAUAGCAAGGGCUUCUCUUAAUGUAGAUUAGCCCUUUUUGAGGGAAAUUUUAGACAAAAUUGGAACCAUAGUAUAUUCAUAUUCAUGUAACAGUGAUUUGCUCUGAGGGUUUCAGAAUGCUGAAAUCUAUGGCGUGUAAUGAUCUGAAAGCUAGGGUAUGGGAGCUGAAAGGGGACCUCAAACCAUGUUCUUGGUUUAGAGAUGAGGAAACCGGUCCCAUUCUGCUACUCAACUGAAUCAACUGCAACUCAAGCAGAAUCAAAAUGUGACAAUCAGACUUCCAUCCACUGUUCUUCUUUCACCCUAAGUGGAAACCUGUACUACUAGAGUGUUUGUGAUCAAGGACAUAAUAAGUGAAAACACUUUCUGUGUCUUUUUGAAGUCUUUAUGAAGACUUACAUAAAGCCAGUGUAUUUAUCCUUCAUAGUUCUAAUUUGAAUAGGGUCUCUGCCACACCCUAUUCCCUGGUUCAGUGAGUUCCCAUAGCAUUUUGUUCUGGAGUAGAAUUGAACCAGGAGGAUCUUAGAUUUCUCCUUGCUCACCUAACCCAUUUAUGCAUUUAUGGAGUGCUUAUUGUGAUUCCAGGCACUAUACCUAAUACGACUUGGGUGAGUAUGAACCUGCUCCUUAGCAAGUUACUGUAGGUCUCUCUACUUCAGAUUCUUCAUCUAUAAAACAAUAAUUACUUUAAAGGAUUGUUUUUGAGAAUAAAAUGAGAUGAUAUAUAUAAACCAUUCAGCCCAGCACCUGGUACUUAGUAAAUACUCAAAACAGCAUUUUGCAGAUAAAGUAAUUGAGAGGUCAGUUUUUCUUUCUUCUACAUUUUUUAUUUCUAGGAAAAACAAAACUGACAUGUUCUUUGGAAUCUAGGCCUUGUGUAUUUAUCUGUGUCUGUCUCGAAGUCUACUUGUCGAGGUUAACUGAUGGUCAUGGCCCAGUCACUCUAGAACAUCAAAAAGUUAACUUCAUUUGCUCACUGCCCUACAGACAGACUAAAUGCAUGUGAAUGACAGCCAGUUCUACCCAGUGGUGAGGAGCCUCAUCUCAUCCCAGAUCCCUUUCAGCUUAAAAUCCUUUAAUGGUUCCUAUGGUCUUUGGGAUACAAAUUCAACUUAGCACAGUGAUCUUGCCUCUGCUUUUCUCUUUCUGGGCCUGUAGCUUGCCACCUACAUUGUGCUUUAUGUUUCUGUCAUAUUUAACUAUUUGAUGUUCUUAAAUACUUUGAUUGUCAUAAUUUCCCAGCUCCACCACCACACAUGCUGUUUUUGUUUUUUAACCUGGGAUGACUAUUGCUCUCCACUCAGUUUCCCCACUGCACAUAUGACAUGUAGACACAUAUGGAAAGGUGUUUUCUUUGUUCCCAUAGUACCUGAUGUGCAUUUCACUUUUUUGGCCAUGAUGCUCAACUUGUGGGAUCUUAGUUCUCUGACCAGGGAUUGAACCUGGGCCAUCAGCAGAGAGAACACAGAGCCCUAAUCACUGGGCCACCAGGGAAGUCCCCCGAUACAUAUUUAUUUAUCAGUACACACCACGUUGUUUUCCCAGUUUGUGUCUCCCCACCAGACUGAGCUCCUUGGCAUCUGAAUCUGUUUUCUAUCUUUCUGUUUCCAACAGCCAGCCCAGUGCCUGGCUCAGAACAAGCAUCCAAAGAAUGAAUGAAUGAAUGGUAUAAAACAGACUUGGUCAUAGAAACUGAAGAUGGAAAAGACCUGAGGACAUCUAGUCCAUCCACGUGAUUGUACAAGAAAAGUGGCUGGAGCAAAACAGCCUGUUCACUUCAUGCUCACAAGACAGCAUUUCAGUCCUUCCUGGAGUGGAGCGAUUGCACACACAUUAAAGUGAAGACACAAUGCAAACACUCUUUACAAACCUUAAGAAAAUACUUAUAGAACAUGGAGGCAAUUCAAGCAAUGCUGACAACAGUAAGCCUGCUUUCAGCCCCUGCAGCUUCUGGCCGCAUCCUGGCUGCAGUUUUGGCCACACAGUUCAUCAGGAGAUAUUUGAGAAGCCAUGCCCUGGUCAUCUACUUUGUGGAUGGGCAGGGUGGUCUGGCAUGUUAUCACCACUGCUCAGAA
rnacentral:lncRNA from 1 species